UCCCUGGUGGCUCAGGUGGUAAAGAAUCCACCUGCAAUGCAGGAGGCCCUGGUUCAAUCCCUGGCUAGGGAA
rnacentral:tRNA from 1 species